rnacentral:misc_RNA from 1 species
GAUGAAGAACGUAGCGAAAUGCGAUAAGUAAUGUGAAUUGCAGAAUUCAGUGAAUCAUCGAAUCUUUGAACGCACAUUGCGCCCCCUGGUAUUCCGGGGGGCAUGCCUGUCCGAGCGUCAUUACAACCCUCAAGCUCAGCUUGGUGUUGGGCCCCGCCGCCCCGGCGGGCCCUAAAGUCAGUGGCGGUGCCGUCCGGCUCCGAGCGUAGUAAUUCUUCUCGCUCUGGAGGUCCGGUCGUGUGCUCGCCAGCAACCCCCAAUUCCAAAAGUUUGACCUCGGAUCAGGUAGGGAUACCCGCUGAACUUAAGCAUAUCAAUAAGCGGAGGA